UAUGUACUCCCUCCGUCCAGAAUUACUUGUCACGGAAAUGGAUGUAUCUAGACAUUUUUUAGUCUAAAUACAUCCAGUUUUAUUCAUUUUGGAGACAAGUAAUUCUAGACCGAGGAAUACUAU
rfam:Triticum aestivum genome assembly, contig: Triticum_aestivum_CS42_TGACv1_scaffold_049874_1BS